rnacentral:piRNA from 2 species
GGAGUUACAAAGUUGGAAGUCGCGC